AGAAUCAACGCUGGCGGCGUGCCUAACACAUGCAAGUCGCACGAGAAAGGGGAGCAAUCCCUGAGUAAAGUGGCGCACGGGUGAGUAACACGUGAAUAAUCUACCUCCGAGUGGGGGAAUAACUGAGAGAAAUCUUAGCUAAUACCGCAUAACACUUACGAGUCAAAGCAGCAAUGCGCUUGGAGAGGAGUUCGCGGCCGAUUAGUUAGUUGGCGGGGUAAUGGCCCACAAGACGAUGAUCGGUA
rnacentral:rRNA from 1 species